GGGGUUCUUGCUGCGCCGACGAUGAGCUUAUUAAGUUGUUAUGUUCAUUUGAUUAUCGUUUAUGUUAAGAAUUAAUUAUGCUUACACUUAAUCGUGGGAUUAAUGGAUUAUUUAUGCUACCUUGGCAAUUGCUAUUUAAUUAUGAACUUGCUAUCCACUAUUAAAAGCUAAAUGCAGUCAAACCCGUGUCAGCUAUUUGAGCCUCAUGAAUCCCUGGUUAUACUUGUUGAGUACGAUAUGUGCUCACUCUUGCAAUUUCCCAACACCCCCAGGUUAUGAUAAUGAAGAUGACUGGAAUGAGGAUUACCGUUAUGAGUACUAGGUUUGGAGUCAACCAGUCAGCAGUGUCCCUGUGUGGAGCUUCUGUCGAGAGCGUUGUUACUUCAUGCUAUCAUUUUUGUAUGAGACUAUGUCAUAUAUUAUAUUCCGCUAUGUAAUAAACACUGCAAUGGUACAUUUGAGAUUUGUCUACUUAUGUGUGCGACUGUUUCUGGGACACAUAUGAGUCUUUUAUGCAUCCUAUUUUAUUCUUAAAAUAUGGGUGUGACAGUGACUAUAAAUACUAGAAUUGCAAUAGGAGGCUUACCUAACAAUUAGAGCUAGAGCAAACUGCAUUUAUAGCCAUUUGUGUUACUAACAAUUUGCUCUAGUGUUUUGAAGUUUUUUAAUAGGUUAUUCACCCUCCUCGAGCCAUCUAGGACCUUAGAAUAUUCCACUUGGCCGCGGGUGCCACGCAAAGAACCAAAAAUGUUGGAGCUUUCGAGCUCCAACAAGUUGCUCCGAAAAGUUUUUGGUUUAGUCCAUGAGAAUUUUUGCAAUUUUUUUAGAUUUUCAUCACUUUCAUUUGUAUUUAAUAAAUAUUAUUCAAAAUGUGGCCUAAAAUAGGCUCAAAAUCAAUAAUCCAUGUCGUAAAUUAUAGGUAUUGUGCAAUUACUUAUUUUUUACCUAUUUUUAAUGCUCUAUGCAUAUGCUACAACAUUCAAUGUGAUAGGGAUUUUGAUUUUUUUUUUUUUUGGAUUUUAGGGCCAACUAAACAAUCAACACAUCAUUUUUGAAGCGUGCCGUCAAAUUAAACACUAUAUACAACAAGUUCAGAUUUAUGCAACCAUUUAUUUGUACAUGGAAUAAGUACAUGAUUUGAUUUUUUUGACACAGUUUGUAAAGUUUCACUUCUCAAAAGAAAAAUAUAUACUUAGGGUUGAUGGUUUGAAAGAGCGUAUCACGAGGAAAAUACGAUUUGAAGCGUGCCGUCAAACGCUAUACAACAAGUUACAGGUUACACAAUUACAUACAAAGAGAAAAUUGAAAUUUGCUAUGCUGAUAACCUAGUUUUUUUAUCGUGUUUAAAUUCAAUUUUAUCCAACAAAGGCCUUGUUUAGUUUCAUUUUUUUUUGGAAAAAUGACAUUGUAGCAUUUUCGUUUUUAUUUGACAAAGGCCUUGUUUAGUUCCAUUUUUAUUUGAAAACUAGGCUUAAAAGAUUUGUCUCGCGAUUUAGAGGCAAACUGUGUAAUUAGUUUUUUAUUUUUAUCUAUAUUUAAUGUUCCAUGCAUGUGCCGUAAGAUUCCAUGUGAUGACUGAGAUCUUGAAAAAAUUUAGUUUUGGGGUGAACAAGGCCAAAAAUACAAAGACAACAAGCCAUGGUCAAUAUGUUUUUUUUCCAUUCACUUUUGGUCACUCACGCCUGCAUGCUUCGGGCUUAAAUUAGCUAACGGUGGAAGUUUCCACCUUCUCUUCUGUCAUUGAGUUGCUUAAAAAUAACAUACUAAUAAUUAAUACACAAUAAAAUAAAAAAAUGAAUUGAGAUACUAUCGCAAAUUUGCCAUGAAAGCUAGCACCGGUCAUAUAUAUGUGCUAUUUGAGUCCUUAUAAAACUAAAAAAAUUAUAUAAACUAGUACCAACAGUUAAAACUAAAAAAAUAUCUAUAUACCAAGAAAUUGUGUAUAUAUUCAGACCUUGUUUAGUUCCAAAACUUUUUGCAAAACGAACACCGUAGAAUUUUUAUUUGUAUUUGACAAAGAUGUGACACAGAAUCUUUAAAUGAUAAUUGCUUGAUGUCAUGAAUAUUAGGAGCAUGUUCGCUUGUCUUAUAAGCCGUACUUUUUCUACUAGUCAUGAUUUUCUCGCACAAUAAAUCAGCGAAUAAUAUUUCUUUCUUUGUGUACAAUUGUUCGAUAUCAUUAACAUUAUUGUUUCUUUCCUUAGUGUAGAAUUGAUCCAAUUUGAGAUACGUGUAAAAAAAAAGCUAAUCCUCUGGUGGUGCCCUAUUUAAAGUGAGAUGAUAUUAGCUUAGUUUAUCCCAAAACCCAAUUUUCUUUUCAAAAUUCUCUAUCACAUCGGAAUUUUACAGCACUUCUCCGGUGGUGCUUUUAAAGAAAAUCAUGAGAAUAUUUUAAUUGGUGGUAUGAGUCUAUGGAGCA
rnacentral:lncRNA from 1 species